CAACUUUCAACAACGGAUCUCUUGGCUCUCGCAUCGAUGAAGAACGCAGCGAAAUGCGAUAAGUAAUGUGAAUUGCAGAAUUCAGUGAAUCAUCGAAUCUUUGAACGCACCUUGCGCUCCUUGGUAUUCCGAGGAGCAUGCCUGUUUGAGUGUCAUGG
rnacentral:rRNA from 1 species